rnacentral:rRNA from 1 species
AUUGAACGCUGGCGGCAUGCCUUACACAUGCAAGUCGAACGGCAGCACGGGUGCUUGCACCUGGUGGCGAGUGGCGAACGGGUGAGUAAUAUAUCGGAACGUACCCUAUUGUGGGGGAUAACGCAGCGAAAGCUGUGCUAAUACCGCAUAAUCCCGAAGGGGGAAAGCGGGGGUCCGUAAGGCCUCGCGCAAUUAGAGCGGCCGAUACCUGAUUAGCUAGUUGGUGAGGUAAAGGCUAACCAAGGCAACGAUCAGUAGCUGGUCUGAGAGGACGAUCAGCCACACUGGGACUGAGACACGGCCCAGACUCCUACGGGAGGCAGCAGUGGGGAAUUUUGGACAAUGGGGGCAACCCUGAUCCAGCAAUGCCGCGUGAGUGAAGAAGGCCUUCGGGUUGUAAAGCUCUUUUGUCAGGGAAGAAACAGCAGCUCUAACACAGUAUGCGAAUGACGGUACCUGAAGAAUAAGCACCGGCUAACUACGUGCCAGCCGCCGCGGUAA